GUUGAUCCUGCCAGUAGUCAUAUGCUUGUCUCAAGGAUUAAGCCAUGCAUGUCUCAGUACAGCCAUAUUAAGGUGAAACCGCGAAAGGCUCAUUAUAUCAGUUAUGGUUCCUUAGAUCGUACCACUUAUUUACUUGGAUAACUGUGGUAAUUCUAGAGCUAAUACAUGCAAACAGAGUCCCAACCAGAAAUGGGAGGGAUGCUUUUAUUAGAUCAAAACCAAUCGGUAUCCGUUCGCGGUGCCGUUUAAUUUGAUGACUCUGAAUAACUUAAUGCUGAUCGCAUGGUCUCGUACCGGCGACGCAUCUUUCAAAUGUCUGCCUUAUCAACUGUCGAUGGUAGGUUCUGCGCCUACCAUGGUUGUAACGGGUAACGGGGAAUCAGGGUUCGAUUCCGGAGAGGGAGCCUGAGAAACGGCUACCACAUCCAAGGAAGGCAGCAGGCGCGCAAAUUACCCACUCUCAGAACGAGGAGGUAGUGACGAAAAAUAACGAUACGGGACUCAUCCGAGGCCCCGUAAUCGGAAUGAGUACACUUUAAAUCCUUUAACGAGGAUCCAUUGGAGGGCCAGUCUGGUGCCAGCAGCCGCGGUAAUUCCAGCUCCAAUAGCGUAUAUUAAAGUUGUUGCGGUUAAAAAGCUCGUAGUCGAAUUUGUGUCCCACACUGUUGGUUCAUCGCGAGCGAUGUUUAACUGGCACGCUGUGGGACGUCCUACCGGUGGAUUUGUGCUCAGGUGCGCCCCAUUCUGUGCUUUGUCCGGGACUGUUGUCGUGUCAUUGUGUGUGUGAUCGUAAUGUUCGUAUAGCUGUCCGAUUGUGUCUCGUGCAUUGAUCGGCGCUACUAUCGACUUGCGGUUAUUUCACGCCUUUGUGCAUUGGCAACAUGCGCCUAGCGAAUGUCACUCGGGUGUCGUUACUUGUUGUGCUAUCCAAUUUCAAUCCCGUCGCGGUGCUCUUAAUUGAGUGUCGAGGUGGGCCGGUACGUUUACUUUGAACAAAUUAGAGUGCUCAAGGCAGGCUAAAAUUUUGCCUGAAUAUUGUGUGCAUGGAAUAAUGGAAUAGGACCUCGGUUCUAUUUUGUUGGUUUUCGGGACUCCGAGGUAAUGAUUAAUACGGACAGAUGGGGGCAUUCGUAUUGCGACGUUAGAGGUGAAAUUCUUGGAUCGUCGCAAGACGGACAGAAGCGAAAGCAUUUGCCAAAAAUGUUUUGAUUGAUCAAGAACGAAAGUUAGAGGAUCGAAGGCGAUCAGAUACCGCCCUAGUUCUAACCAUAAACGAUGCCAGCUAGCGAUCCGUCGAAGUACCUCCGAUGACUCGACGGGCAGCUUCCGGGAAACCAAAGCUUUUGGGUUCCGGGGGAAGUAUGGUUGCAAAGCUGAAACUUAAAGGAAUUGACGGAAGGGCACCACCAGGAGUGGAGCCUGCGGCUUAAUUUGACUCAACACGGGGAAUCUCACCAGGCCAGAACAGCGAAAGGAUUGACAGAUUGAGAGCUCUUUCUUGAUUCGUUGAGUGGUGGUGCAUGGCCGUUCUUAGUUGGUGGAGCGAUUUGUCAGGUUAAUUCCGAUAACGAACGAGACUCUAGCCUGCUAAAUAGACGAAAAUUUUAACUGGCAUCUCAAGGCCUGCCCGCUAUUUGUGCUACUUGAUGCGGUGUCUGGUGUUGAUGUUGGCCAUGGUGGUUCUCUCGGGUUCCAUUGUGGUUUGGCAUUUGACGCCGAUGCGGUCGUGUGUGUUACGAUAGUUGUGUGUUUGGUUUUUACUGCCAGCGUUAUAUAAUAUCUUCUUAGAGGGACAGGCGGCAUUCUAGCCGCACGAGAUUGAGCAAUAACAGGUCAGUGAUGCCCUUAAAUGUUCUGGGCCGCACGCGCGCUACAAUGAAGGAAUCAACGUGUCCUCCUUGACCGAAAGGUCCGGGUAACCUGUUGAACCUCCUUCGUGCUAGGGAUUGGGUUUUGCAAUUAUGACCCAUGAACGAGGAAUUCCCAGUAAGCGCGAGUCAUCAGCUCGCGUUGAUUACGUCCCUGCCCUUUGUACACACCGCCCGUCGCUACUACCGAUUGAAUGAUUUAGUGAGGUCUUCGGACUGGUACGCGGCAGCGUUUUAAUAGACAUUGCCGAUGUUGUCGGAAAGAUGACCAAACUUGAUUAUUUAGAGGAAGUAAAAGUCGUAACAAGGUUUCCGUAG
rnacentral:rRNA from 1 species